GCCCAGGUGGCGGAAUUGGUAGACGCGCUUGGUUCAGGUCCAAGUUUCCGCAAGGAUGUGUGAGUUCGAGUCUCGUCCUGGGCA
rnacentral:tRNA from 1 species